rnacentral:misc_RNA from 1 species
GAUUGUUCGCCAAAGUGUUGGAAGUACUCCAUGCUUAUUGGGAAAAGCAGUUGAUUGCAUCUAUAUUCGAGGGCCCAAGUAUUUAGAAGUCGAUGUUGAUAUCGGCUCUUCGACGGUUGCUAAUGGAGUUUUGGGACUUGUCAUUGGUGUAAUUACAACAUUGGUGGUCGACAUGGCUUUCCUUAUACAGGCAAAUACAACAGAAGAAUUACCGGAGCGAUUACUUGGAGC